rnacentral:misc_RNA from 1 species
GGGAGCAGGUUAGGUCAGCAAUGACCGACCGGCCGGACACCGAUCCAAUAGCGGCUUGAGCCAAGCUCGCCGUUUCGGUGUACCGCUCUAGGAUAUUUCGACCGGUCUCGUAAGGCGUAGGGUUUAUCUCCAGCUAUCGCUGUCGAGUAGCUACUAUUCAGUUUUCAGGGCCUUUCCGGCUCUGGAGCGUGCACCCGCGAGAGCGAAGGUGUCUGAUCUUUGAAAACUGCAUAGCGCGAUCCAAUGUA